GGAGAGGUUCCCGAGUGGCCAAAGGGGACGGGCUGUAAACCCGUUGGCUUAGCCUUCGGAGGUUCGAAUCCUCCCCUCUCCACCA
rnacentral:tRNA from 1 species